GGUCCCUAUCCGUCGUGGGCGUAGGAAAUUUGAGAGGAGCUGUCCUUAGUACGAGAGGACCGGGAUGGACGCACCGCUGGUGUACCAGUUGUUCUGCCAAGGGCAUAGCUGGGUAGCUAUGUGCGGAAGGGAUAAGUGCUGAAAGCAUCUAAGCAUGAAGCCCCCCUCAAGAUGAGAUUUCCCAUAGCGUAAGCUAGUAAGAUCCCUGAAAGAUGAUCAGGUUGAUAGGUUCGAGGUGGAAGCAUGGUGACAUGUGGAGCUGACGAAUACUAAUAGAUCGAGGACUUAACCAUAUAA
rnacentral:rRNA from 2 species